rnacentral:misc_RNA from 1 species
GAUGAAGAACGUAGUGAAAUGCGAUACGUAAUGUGAAUUGCAGAAUUCAGUGAAUCAUCGAAUCUUUGAACGCACAUUGCGCCCCUUGGUAUCCCGAGGGGCAUGCCUGUUCGAGCGUCAUUUCACCACUCAAGCCUGGCUUGGUGUUGGGCGACGUCCCCUUUGGGGACGCGCCUCGAAACGCUCGGCGGCGUGGCACCGGCUUUAAGCGUAGCAGAAUCUUUCGCUUUGGAAGUCGGGGCCCCGUCUGCCGGAAGACCUACUCGCAAGGUUGACCUCGGAUCAGGCAGGGAUACCCGCUGAACUUAAGCAUAUCAAUAAGCGGAGGA